UACGGAGGGUGCAAGCGUUAUCCGGAUUCACUGGGUUUAAAGGGUGCGUAGGCGGGUUGGUAAGUCCGUGGUGAAAUCUCCAAGCUUAACUUGGAAACUGCCGUGGAUACUAUCAAUCUUGAAUAUCGUGGAGGUAAGCGGAAUAUGUCAUGUAGCGGUGAAAUGCUUAGAUAUGACAUAGAACACCAAUUGCGUAGGCAGCUUACUACACGAUCAUUGACGCUGAGGCACGAAAGCGUGGGGAGCGAACAGG
rnacentral:rRNA from 1 species